rnacentral:rRNA from 1 species
UACGUAGGGUGCAAGCGUUGUCCGGAAUUAUUGGGCGUAAAGAGCUCGUAGGUGGCGGGUCACGUCGGGUGUGAAAGCCCGGGGCUCAACCCCGGGUCUGCAUUCGAUACGGGUCUGCUAGGGUCCGGCAGGGGAGACUGGAAUUCCUGGUGUAGCGGUGAAAUGCGCAGAUAUCAGGAGGAACACCGGUGGCGAAGGCGGGUCUCUGGGCCGGUACCGACGCUGGAGGAGCGAAAGCGUGGGGAGCGAACAGG